rnacentral:rRNA from 1 species
UGGGGAAUAUUGCACAAUGGGCGCAAGCCUGAUGCAGCCAUGCCGCGUGUAUGAAGAAUGCCUUCGGGUUGUAAAGUACUUUCAGCGGGGAGGAAGGGAGUAAAGUUAAUACCUUUGCUCAUUGACGUUACCCGCAGAAGAAGCACCGGCUAACUCCGUGCCAGCAGCCGCGGUAAUACGGAGGGUGCAAGCGUUAAUCGGAAUUACUGGGCGUAAAGCGCACGCAGGCGGUUUGUUAAGUCAGAUGUGAAAUCCCCGGGCUCGACCUGGGAACUGCAUCUGAUACUGGCAAGCUUGAGUCUCGUAGAUGGGGGUAGAAUUCCAGGUGUAGCGGUGAAAUGCGUAGAGAUCUGGAGGAAUACCGGUGGCGAAGGCGGCCCCCUGGACGAAGACUGACGCUCAGGUGCGAAAGCGUGGGGAGCAAACAGG